rnacentral:rRNA from 1 species
GACGAACGCUGGCGGCGUGCUUAACACAUGCAAGUCGAACGGAAAGGCCUGCUUUCCCUUGUGGAUUGCGGGUACUCGAGUGGCGAACGGGUGAGUAACACGUGAGUGAUCUGCCCCCAACUUGGGUAUAAGCCUGGGAAACUGGGUCUAAUUCCCGAUAGGACUGCAGGGUGGUGCCUGUGGUGGAAAACGAUCUUCUAGUGGUUGGGGAUGAGCUCGCGGCCUAUCAGCUUGUUGGUGGGGUAAUGGCCUACCAAGGCGGCGACGGGUAGCCGGCCUGAGAGGGUGGACGGCCACAUUGGGACUGAGAUACGGCCCAGACUCCUACGGGAGGCAGCAGUGGGGAAUAUUACACAAUGGGCGGAAGCCUGAUGCAGCGACGCCGCGUGGGGGAUGACGGCCUUCGGGUUGUAAACUCCUUUCGACCGCGAGGAAGCCACCUGGUUGGAAGGGUGGUGACGGUAGUGGUAGAAGAAGCACCGGCUAACUACGUG